rnacentral:misc_RNA from 1 species
AAGUCGUAACAAGGUUUCCGUAGGUGAACCUGCGGAAGGAUCAUUAAAAAAAGGGUCGCAAGACCUAUUUUUAAACACUAUCGCCGCCUAUCAUCUAUGGGUAGGAUACUCUUGUCUAUGGGUGAGAUGGAGGAGGUAGGGUUUUUAAAAUCCAAUUAUUAUUAUAAAAUAUAUCGUCUAAUGACGAACCAAAAAAAUUUAUUAAAACUUUCAACAAUGGAUCUCUUGGCUCUC